rnacentral:rRNA from 1 species
UACGGAGGUGGCAAGCGUUGUUCGGAAUUACUGGGCGUAAAGGGCGCGUAGGCGGCGAUUCAAGUGACGGGUGAAAUCCCUCGGCUUAACCGAGGAACUGCCUGUCAGACUGGAUGGCUUGAGACCGGGAGAGGUGAGUGGAAUUCCCAGUGUAGCGGUGAAAUGCGUAGAUAUUGGGAGGAACACCAGUGGCGAAGGCGGCUCACUGGACCGGAACUGACGCUGAGGCGCGAAAGCGUGGGGAGCAAACAGG